rnacentral:rRNA from 1 species
AUCACUAAGCGGAGGAAAAGAAACUAAAAAGGAUUCCCUCAGUAACGGCGAGUGAAGAGGGAUAAGCCCAGCACCGAAUACCCCAACUGUGUAGUUGGAGGUAAAUGUGGUGUUUGAGAGUGCCAAUGAGGUGACAAUUUUGUGCUAGAGUCCUCCUGAUAGGGGCUUCACCCAUAGAGGGUGUUAGGCCUGUUCCGCACACUUUUUCUUCUCUGUGGUGCUCUUACGAGUCGGGUUGUUUGAGAAUGCAGCCCAAAGUUGGUGGUAAACUCCAUCUAAGGCUAAAUACAGGCACAGGUCCGAUAGCGAACAAGUACGGUGACGGAAAGUU